CCUACGGGAGGCAGCAGUAAGGAAUAUUGGUCAAUGGACGCAAGUCUGAACCAGCCAUGCCGCGUGAAGGAUUAAGGCCCUCUGGGUUGUAAACUUCUUUUAUAGGGGACGAAAAAAGGGCAUUCUUGCUCACUUGACGGUACCCUAGGAAUAAGCACCGGCUAACUCCGUGCCAGCAGCCGCGGUAAUACGGAGGGUGCAAGCGUUAUCCGGAUUUACUGGGUUUAAAGGGUGCGUAGGUGGGUUGGUAAGUCAGUGGUGAAAUCUUCGAGCUUAACUCGGAAACUGCCAUUGAUACUAUCAAUCUUGAAUCAUCUAGAGGUAAGCGGAAUAUGUCAUGUAGCGGUGAAAUGCUUAGAUAUGACAUAGAACACCAAUUGCGAAGGCAGCUUACUAUGGAUGUAUUGACACUGAGGCACGAAAGCGUGGGGAUCAAACAGGAUUAGAUACCCUGGUAGUCCACGACCUAACGAUAGAUACUACGACAUUAGUGUAUAUACUAUAGUAGU
rnacentral:rRNA from 1 species